UUUUCUGGAUCCUAGAAGUGAAAUGAACUGGUCUGUGUCUUGUUGCAGUGUGUGGACAGGGCACACUCACAGAGCAUCUGCAGUGUGGGUUCAGUCAUCUAAGGUUGUGCAGUGGAUGGAAGGCCUCCCUACCGGGGAAUUCAAUCCUAAGAAGAAUAAUCAAAGCCCUUUUGGUUUGUAGACACUGAGCUUCCUGAAGUGCCAACAUCCGCUUCAGUGUUCUCACUUCUCCUGAGGCCACUCUUGCUGGCAGAAGCCUAGCCUGGAGGUUGUGCAGCCAGAAGGUGAUACGAUGACUGCCUCCUCCACCCGGCUCUGGCCUUCACAGAGGCAGACUUCCAGGCUACUCUGAAGCCAGCCCUGUCCCACAGACAGGGAAGCUGUUCCUACCCCAGAACAGGCCCGGGUAUAGGCUCUGUCUGCCCCAGCCUUUCAUGACCUCUUCUGGUCCCCAUCCUAAAGAAGGCACAGUCAUCUCCUCACUGGGUCCCUGUGCUCACCUGGGGACACCCCUCACAGCUCAGGGUCAGUUAGGAUAUCCCGAUCUUCCCCAGCCCUGGGUUCUCUAGGCUGUACUUAGUGAAGCCCUUGGCUCUUCCAGCAGAUGAUGGAGAUAAGUGUAGAAGAAGCCCAAGGUCUCUGAGCCUGGAUCUGACACAUGGUGUCCCUAUACUAAGAACCCAUUUUUUUAAACCUCUGCAUUCUACAGAGAGUACUACAGCAGCCAUCGAAAGAUACCAGUUCAUCAACGGGCAGCUGCAUACGCUGGAACAGUUUGCCAAGGUGCUGACUGUGCUACCUACCGAAGCCCUGGUCGGGAAAUGUUUUGAGUCUGGCAGUGGUGUUGUCUGGGAUGCUUAGCUAGCGCCAUCUUGGAUCCUGCUUUGCUUAUGCCAAGCCCUAGUUCCAUCUUUCCAUGCCUGGCAUUUCACCCUCCAUCCUGAACAGUGACUGAAGUCCAUGAUGGGGGAAGAAGGCUGUGCUUUGUCUCCUGCCUUUGCAGUCCAGUGUGGAGCUGUACCUGACAUACCACCAGUAUAGCAUGAAUGGAAUGCUCUGCACAAGAAGCUCACUUCUCCUCCCUCUGAAACUUGAGAAGAAUUGAAGAAUAGUCA